rnacentral:lncRNA from 1 species
AGGUAUGGUGCUGGGUGCAGAUGCAGUGUGGCUCUGGAUAGCACCUUAUGGACAGUUGUGUCCCCAAGGAAGGAUGAGAAUAGCUACUGAAGUCCUAAAGAGCAAGCCUAACUCAAGCCAUUGGCACACAGGCAUUAGACAGAAAGCUGGAAGUUGAAAUGGUGGAGUCCAACUUGCCUGGACCAGCUUAAUGGUUCUGCUCCUGGUAACGUUUUUAUCCAUGGAUGACUUGCUUGGGUAAGGACAUGAAGACAGUUCCUGUCAUACCUUUUAAAGGGUUUUUAAUGACCACAACAAGCAAGCAUGCAGCUUACUGCUUGAAAGGCUGGAGUGCAGUGGUGUAACCUCGGCUCACUGCAAUCUCCACCUCCUGGGUUCAAGUGAUUCUCCUGCCUCAGCCUCCUGAGUAGCUGGGACUACAGGUAUGUGCCACCACACCCAGCUAAUUUUUGUAUUUUUAGUAGAGAUGGGGUUUCACCAUGUUGGCCAGGAUGGUCUCAGUCUCUUGACCUUGUGAUCUGUCUGCCUCAGCCUCCCAAAGUGCUGGGAUUAUAGGCGUGAGCCACUGUACCCGGCCUCAUUUUAUAAUUAUUAGUUUAUUAAAACUUUUAUGUGUAUGAUUAGAACUUAAAAUCACAAUGAGUUUUGGUGUUCACUUUUUCGCACAUUUGAGGUUAAUCUAAGGUUGAUUAGAAUUUUCAAUUACUUAUAAUUGAGAGAAAAUAGUGUUCAGUGAUUAAUAAUAUCUUUGUUGUCUUUUUUUUUUUGAGAUGGAGUCUUGCUCUGUCACCCAGGCUGGAGUGUAAUGGCACCAUCUUGGCUCACUGCAACCUCCAUCUCCCAGGUUCAAGCAAACCUCAUGCCUCAGCCUCCCGAGUGGCUGCGAUUACAGGCAUGCGCCACCAUGCCUGGCUAAUUUUUGUGUUUUUAGUAGAGACGGUUUCACUAUGUUGGCCAGGCUGGUGUUGAACUCCUGACCUCAAGUGAUCCACCCACCUCAAUCUCCCAAAGUGCUGGGAUUACAGGUGUGAGCCACCACUCCCGGCCAAUAAUAUCUUUAAAACUAAAAAA